rnacentral:rRNA from 1 species
CGAACGACUCUCGGCAAUGGAUAUCUCGGCCCUCGCAUCGAUGAAAAACAUAGCAAAAUGCGAUACUUUGUGUGAAUUGUAGAAUCACGUGAACCAUCGAGUUUUUGAACGCAAGUUGCGCCCGAAGCCGUCAGGCCAAGGGCACGUCUGCCUGGGCGUCAUGC